rnacentral:rRNA from 1 species
AGUGAUGAAGGCCUUAGGGUCGUAAAGCUCUUUUACCAGGGAUGAUAAUGACAGUACCUGGAGAAUAAGCUCCGGCUAACUCCGUGCCAGCAGCCGCGGUAAUACGGAGGGAGCUAGCGUUGUUCGGAAUUACUGGGCGUAAAGCGUACGUAGGCGGUUAUUCAAGUCAGAGGUGAAAGCCCGGGGCUCAACCCCGGAACUGCCUUUGAAACUAGAUAACUAGAGUCUUGGAGAGGUUAGUGGAAUUCCGAGUGUAGAGGUGAAAUUCGUAGAUAUUCGGAAGAACACCAGUGGCGAAGGCGACUAACUGGACAAGUACUGACGCUGAGGUACGAAAGCGUGGGGAGCAAACAGGAUUAGAUACCCUGGUAGUCCACGCCGUAAACGAUGAUAACUAGCUGUCCGGGUACUUGGUAUCUGGGUGGCGCAGCUAACGCAUUAAGUUAUCCGCCUGGGGAGUACGGUCGCAAGAUUAAAACUCAAAGG